rnacentral:rRNA from 1 species
GGAGGAAAGCAGGGGAUCGCAAGACCUUGCGCUCUUUGGGCGGCCGAUGUCUGAUUAGCUAGUUGGUGAGGUAAAGGCUUACCAAGGCGACGAUCAGUAGCUGGUCUGAGAGGACGACCAGCCACACUGGGACUGAGACACGGCCCAGACUCCUACGGGAGGCAGCAGUGGGGGAUUUUGGACAAUGGGGGAAACCCUGAUCCAGCCAUGCCGCGUGAGCGAAGAAGGCCUUCGGGUUGUAAAGCUCUUUCAGCCGGAACGAAACGGUCACGGCUAAUACCUGUGAUCACUGACGGUACCGGAAGAAGAAGCACCGGCUAACUACGUGCCAGCAGCCGCGGUAAUACGUAGGGUGCAAGCGUUAAUCGGAAUUACUGGGCGUAAAGCGUGCGCAGGCGGUUUUGUAAGUCAGAUGUGAAAUCCCCGGGCUUAACCUGGGAACUGCGUUUGAAACUACAAAGCUAG